CAAAGACCAAGGGCUACCAAGGAGUCAUCUUAAUUCCAGGAAACUUCAGGGUUGGAGAAGCAAAUGCAUGCAGUUCCUAUCCUGAGGAGCAGACCAAGGACAGUAUGAUCUGCUGUUCCUGGCAGUGCAAUUCAAGACUCUGGGUUGACACUACAAAACGCCAUGACUACCUUGAACACAGA